AGUGAACGCUGGCGGUAGGCCUAACACAUGCAAGUCGAACGAGUGGCGGACGGGUGAGGAAUACAUCGGAAUCUACUCUGUCGUGGGGGAUAACGUAGGGAAACUUACGCUAAUACCGCAUACUAUCAGAUGAGCCUAGGUCGGAUUAGCUAGUUGGUGGGGUAAAGGCCUACCAAGGCGACGAUCCGUAACUGGUCUGAGAGGAUGAUCAGCCACACUGGAACUGAGACACGGUCCAGACUCCUACGGGAGGCAGCAGUGGGGAAUAUUGGACAAUGGGCGCAAGCCUGAUCCAGCCAUACCGCGUGGGUGAAGAAGGCCUUCGGGUUGUAAAGCCCUUUUGUUGGGAAAGCGGUACCCAAAGAAUAAGCACCGGCUAACUUCGUGCCAGCCGCCGCGGUAAUAC
rnacentral:rRNA from 1 species